rnacentral:lncRNA from 1 species
GCUACAGUUCUCUGUUCUUCAUAUUUAUGAGUCAGAACUCAGACAGGAGCAGUAAAAAGUAUCAUUUAAGAUUUAUGGUCCCCUUUCUACUUAUUUCUGUUAUCCUGUCCUUUGUUUAAAAGAAAAUCUGCUUUCUUCUUUGUUUCCAUUUGCAGUUAUGAUACCGAGUGUAUUUGCCUCACAAGAAAAUAACUGUGGGAGUGUGGGUUUACUUUACUGCCCGCGCUUUCACUAUGAAAAUAUAUGUACACGGUGUAAUGUGUUCAGUGUGUUCAAAGGAAACCAUAUGUAGGCAGACAAAGGGCCACUGUUCUCCAAUAGCUGCAGUUCCACACCCCCUUUCCUCUUGCGCCUCGACAGAGACACGGACAAGAAACGGAGAGGCAGAGGAGGAUAGGUGUGGGGACGCCGUGCACUCAAGGUCUCCUGCUGGUCUACAUCGUGCUGCCACAGUACAGGCACCUCUGGAUUGCCAUUUAACACACUGUAGAGUUGAAGAAACGAACACAGAAUUGACAUCAGAAACAUCUUCACUCAUCUUCCCCUUUUUUGAGACCAUCGAAUGAUACAAAGGAAAAAAGUGCAGUGAAGGAACCAAGGGAGCUGGACUGGACACUAACCUCUGAGACAGUGAACAGACAUUCUGAGCAGGGAUCAACGAAUCUCAAAUCAACAUACAAAUAUGGUCUAGAACAUACCCCUCACACUUUUUCUUUGAAUUAACUUUGGGUAAUUUUAAGAACAAGGGUUAUUCAGACCAUAUGAUAACAGAGUUUUUGGGAAAAAAUGUAAAUAUUAUUUUAUUAUUUUCAUGAUUCUACAAAAAUUAAGCAGCUGACCUCAUUUUCCUAUUUACACCCAGUGAACUCCAGAAAAACUGGAGAUACAUGCUUUAUUUUUGCCUUAUUUUGAUGAGGAUCAAUUAAUUCAAAUUUAAUAGGCUGAAAUACUUUCAGCCACCUGAAGUGCACUGCAGGCUGAAAGUAAAGCAGGAACCAUUAAAACAUUUCCUCACUUCCAAAUCAUCAAUUUUCAUCUACAAAGUCCAACGCACAUAUAGACAAUGGGCUCAAGAGAAACUAUGAUUUGAGGGUUAUGUAAAGACAAGGGACUCAGCAUAACUAUAAUAUGAGGGUUAUGUUUUGGUUGCUGGAUUAAGAGCAGGGCAGGAGAAGCAUGAGCACUGCUUCCAGAAAACUGUUCAACAUGACUGGCAAAGGUGAUAGUAUUUCAGCCUGACAGGACCUGCAGUGGAGUGCACUGCACUUGUGCAAUACUGGCAUUUCUUCUGGGAGCUCAUCCAGUAUUCUUGCAGUUUGGAGAAGCAUCAUAAAUCCAGAAAUAUACAGCAUACAAAAUCAAUGGAAGUGCACCAAAGUGGCAAGUCCAUGACUGGAACUUGGUAAAAAAAAAAAAAAUCAGAAGCCAGACAACAGAUCCCAGCCUCAGAUUGAAAAAGAUCUACGCAGGAAUGCCUGGUUUUGUCCAGAGCGCCUGCUGAUGGUGCUGCUGGAUCUGCCUUCCUCCGUCGUGUCGCAAGUCUUGGCACGGCUGCAUGUUUGCACC